rnacentral:rRNA from 1 species
GACGAACGCUGGCGGCGUGCCUAAUACAUGCAAGUAGAACGCUGAAGGAGGAGCUUGCUCUUCUGGAUGAGUUGCGAACGGGUGAGUAACGCGUAGGUAACCUGCCUGGUAGCGGGGGAUAACUAUUGGAAACGAUAGCUAAUACCGCAUAACAGUAGAUGUUGCAUGACAUUUACUUAAAAGGUGCAAUUGCAUCACUACCAGAUGGACCUGCGUUGUAUUAGCUAGUUGGUGGGGUAACGGCUCACCAAGGCGACGAUACAUAGCCGACCUGAGAGGGUGAUCGGCCACACUGGGAAUGGGAAACGGCCCAGACUCCUACGGGAGGCAGCAGUAGGGAAUCUUCGGCAAUGGACGGAAGUCUGAACGAGCAACGGCGCGUGAGUGAAGAAGGUUUUCGGAUCGUAAAGCUCUGUUGUAAGAGAAGAACGAGUGUGAGAGUGGAAAGUUCACACUGUGACGGUAUCUUACCAGAAAGGGACGGCUAACUACGUG